AUUGAACGCUGGCGGCAUGCCUUACACAUGCAAGUCGAACGGCAGCACGGGUGCUUGCACCUGGUGGCGAGUGGCGAACGGGUGAGUAAUACAUCGGAACAUGUCCUGUAGUGGGGGAUAGCCCGGCGGAAGCCGGAUUAAUACCGCAUACGAUCUACGGAUGAAAGCGGGGGACCUUCGGGCCUCGCGCUAUAGGGUUGGCCGAUGGCUGAUUAGCUAGUUGGUGGGGUAAAGGCCUACCAAGGCGACGAUCAGUAGCUGGUCUGAGAGGACGACCAGCCACACUGGGACUGAGACACGGCCCAGACUCCUACGGGAGGCAGCAGUGGGGAAUUUUGGACAAUGGGCGAAAGCCUGAUCCAGCAAUGCCGCGUGUGUGAAGAAGGCCUUCGGGUUGUAAAGCACUUUUGUCCGGAAAGAAAUCCUUGGCUCUAAUACAGUCGGGGGAUGACGGUACCGGAAGAAUAAGCACCGGCUAACUACGUG
rnacentral:rRNA from 1 species